GACGCGGUGGCCUAAUGAUUAGCGCGCUGGCCUCCAGAUCGAGCGGUCUGGGUUCGAGCCCUGGCCGGAGUCG
rnacentral:tRNA from 1 species